rnacentral:rRNA from 1 species
UGGGGAAUAUUGCACAAUGGGCGCAAGCCUGAUGCAGCGACGCCGCGUGAGGGAUGACGGCCUUCGGGUUGUAAACCUUUUUCAGUAGGGAAGAAGCGUAAGUGACGGUACCUGCAGAAGAAGCGCCGGCUAACUACGUG